CAAAAACCGUUCUCUCUAUCUCUGCAAUGAAGAAGACAAGGUUUUUCCUCUCAACCUUAAUUCAAGAAACCGAGAACCCAACUCGACAAGGGGAAACUACCGUUCAUUCGCUCAGAAUUUGCUCAAAAUCCGUUCAAGGGUACGUCCGCAAGUAAAGUCGGAACGAAUGAUUCAAGUUAAAGGAACUAAAUGAUCCAGGUUGAGCAGCGAAGUAGUGGAGGAAGUGCUAUUGAGACAAGAUACUUAAUUCAGUCAGAUUUUGA